GGGCAAAUCCGGAAAAUCAAGGCUGAGGCGUGAUGACGAGGCACUACGGUGCUGAAGCGACAAAUGCCCUGCUUCCAGGAAAAGCCUCUAAGCAUCAGGUAACAUCAAAUCGUACCCCAAACCGACACAGGUGGUCAGGUAGAGAAUACCAAGGCGCUUGAGAGAACCCGGGUGAAGGAACUAGGCAAAAUGGUGCCGUAACUUCGGGAGAAGGCACGCUGAUAUGUAGGUGAAGCGACUUGCUCGUGGAGCUGAAAUCAGUCGAAGAUACCAGCUGGCUGCAACUGUUUAUUAAAAACACAGCACUGUGCAAACACGAAAGUGGACGUAUACGGUGUGACGCCUCCCCGGUGCCGGAAGGUUAAUUGAUGGGGUCAGCGCAAGCGAAGCUCUUGAUCGAAGCCCCGGUAAACGGCGGCCGUAACUAUAACGGUCCUAAGGUAGCGAAAUUCCUUGUCGGGUAAGUUCCGACCUGCACGAAUGGCGUAAUGAUGGCCAGGCUGUCUCCACCCGAGACUCAGUGAAAUUGAACUCGCUGUGAAGAUGCAGUGUACCCGCGGCAAGACGGAAAGACCCCGUGAACCUUUACUAUAGCUUGACACUGAACAUUGAGCCCUGAUGUGUAGGAUAGGUGGGAGGCUUUGAAGUGUGGACGCCAGUCUGCAUGGAGCCGACCUUGAAAUACCACCCUUUAAUGUUUGAUGUUCUAACGUAGACCCGUAAUCCGGGUUGCGGACAGUGUCUGGUGGGUAGUUUGACUGGGGCGGUCUCCUCCUAAAGAGUAACGGAGGAGCACGAAGGUUGGCUAAUCCUGGUCGGACAUCAGGAGGUUAGUGCAAUGGCAUAAGCCAGCUUGACUGCGAGCGUGACGGCGCGAGCAGGUGCGAAAGCAGGUCAUAGUGAUCCGGUGGUUCUGAAUGGAAGGGCCAUCGCUCAACGGAUAAAAGGUACUCCGGGGAUAACAGGCUGAUACCGCCCAAGAGUUCAUAUCGACGGCGGUGUUUGGCACCUCGAUGUCGGCUCAUCACAUCCUGGGGCUGAAGUAGGUCCCAAGGGUAUGGCUGUUCGCCAUUUAAAGUGGUACGCGAGCUGGGUUUAGAACGUCGUGAGACAGUUCGGUCCCUAUCUGCCGUGGGCGCUGGAGAACUGAGGGGGGCUGCUCCUAGUACGAGAGGACCGGAGUGGACGCAUCACUGGUGUUCGGGUUGUCAUGCCAAUGGCACUGCCCGGUAGCUAAAUGCGGAAGAGAUAAGUGCUGAAAGCAUCUAAGCACGAAACUUGCCCCGAGAUGAGUUCUCCCUGACUCCUUGAGAGUCCUGAAGGAACGUUGAAGACGACGACGUUGAUAGGCCGGGUGUGUAAGCGCAGCGAUGCGUUGAGCUAACCGGUACUAAUGAACCGUGAGGCUUAACCC
rnacentral:rRNA from 1 species